rnacentral:lncRNA from 1 species
UGGGUUCUAAGUUCCUAAAUUAGAUGCUCCUUUAUUUUUGUGCCUGUAUUUUUAUUAUAAUUGUGUCGUGAGCUUGCCACAGAAAUAUGCUCAAUCCCGGCCCCCUCUUAGAGAACCAGAAAAGAACUGGUAGAAGAGUGGGUGAAUGUUGUUUGAUUGCGCAGGAUACGGAAAAGACUUGUAAACCUGGGACUUGUUGCAGUGGAGAAUUUGUGUUGGUUAAU